GAUGAACGCUGGCGGCGUGCCUAAUACAUGCAAGUCGAGCGAACGGACGAGAAGCUUGCUUCUCUGAUGUUAGCGGCGGACGGGUGAGUAACACGUGGAUAACCUACCUAUAAGACUGGGAUAACUUCGGGAAACCGGAGCUAAUACCGGAUGAUAUUUUGAACCGCAUGGUUCAAAAGUGAAAGACGGUCUUGCUGUCACUUAUAGAUGGAUCCGCGCUGCAUUAGCUAGUUGGUAAGGUAACGGCUUACCAAGGCAACGAUGCAUAGCCGACCUGAGAGGGUGAUCGGCCACACUGGAACUGAGACACGGUCCAUACUCCUACGGGAGGCAGCAGUAGGGAAUCUUCCGCAAUGGGCGAAAGCCUGACGGAGCAACGCCGCGUGAGUGAUGAAGGUCUUCGGAUCGUAAAACUCUGUUAUUAGGGAAGAACAUAUGUGUAAGUAACUGUGCACAUCUUGACGGUACCUAAUCAGAAAGCCACGGCUAACUACGUG
rnacentral:rRNA from 1 species